rnacentral:rRNA from 1 species
AACGCACCUUGCGCCCUUUGGCUAUUCCGAAGGGCAUGCCUGUUUGAGUAUCAUGAACACCUCAACUCCUCAUGGCUUGCAUGAUGAGCUUGGACUUUGGGGGUCUUGCUGGCUUCAGUGGUCAGCUCCCCUCAAAUGAAUCAGCUUGCCAGUGUUUGGUGGCGCCACAGGUGUGAUAACUAUCUACGCUUGUGGUUUCCCAUCAGGUAACCUUCAGUGAUGGAGGUUCGCUGGAGCUCAUAGACGUCUCUCCCUCAGUGAGGACAGCUUUGUGAACAUUUGAUCUCAAAUCAGGUAGGACUACCCGCUGAACUUA